GGAGCGGUAGUUUAAACGGCAAAACACCGGUCUCCAAAACCGGAAAUCCAGGUUCAAGCCCUGGUCGCUCUGCCA
rnacentral:tRNA from 1 species